GGACCCAUUGCUUCUGUGGGCAACACCAGUUGUGUCGAUGUCGGAGGAAAUAAUUCAGGAAACAUUGGAUCAGGCAACAAAUUCGAUAUAAAAGGAGGAGUGGGAGGUUGUGAAAGCGUUUGCCACACUGCUACUGUUAAACCUUGUCCUAAACCAGGAUCCACUGGUUCAGGGAAUUGCUGCAAAUGAGCUAAGGAAAUCGGCCUCCAACUCUUCCAAAAACAAGGCACCAUUUGUUGAAUGUUGAAUUCAUGAUUUCAAAUCAACAGUAUGAAUGUAAAGGAAAUAUGAGUGAAAAUAAAGUAGAGUACCUGCUCUAUGAGACC